UAGAUACCCUCGGUGCCGGAGUUAACCCGGUAAGUAUCCCGCCUGGGGACUACGGUCGCAAGGCUAGAACUCAAAGGAAUUGGCGGGGGCCCGCACAAGCAGCGGAGCGUGUGGUUUAAUUCGAUGCAACGCGAAGAACCUUACCAGGGCUUGACAUGCAAGUAGUAGUGAAGCGAAAGCGGAACGAUCCUUCGGGAACGCUUGCACAGGUGCUGCAUGGCUGUCGUCAGCUCGUGCCAUGAGGUGUUAGGUUAAGUCCUGUAACGAGCGCAACCAUUGCCGUUAGUUACAAGUCUCUAACGGGACUGCCCGGCUCAACUGGGACCAAGGUGGGCAUGACGUCAAGUCAGCAUGGCCUUUAUGUCCUGGGCUACACACACGCUACAAUGGCCGGUACAAUGGGUAGCCAAGCCGUGAGGCGGAGCCAAUCCUGUAAAGCCGGUCUCAGUUCGGAUUGCAGGCUGCAACUCGCAUGCAUGAAGUCGGAGUUGCUAGUAACCGCAGGUCAGCCACCCUCUCGGUGAUACGUUCCCGGGCAUUGACACACCGCCCGUCACGUCAUGGGAGCUGUAACACCUGAAGCCG
rnacentral:rRNA from 1 species